rnacentral:lncRNA from 1 species
UCCUGCAAGAAUAUAUGAUACAUGUUAACACACAAAAUUCGUAACUGACAAAAUUUGGGCCCUAAUCCUAUAUAUGUAACUUGGUAAAUUUUUGAAUUGUGGGACUUUACUUGAUUAACAUAGAUGAUUGCUUGUAGCAUUCUAAAGUAUGAUUGGCUGUAGCAUUCUAAAGUAUGAUUGUUUGUAGCAUUCUAAAGUAUGAUAAAUAUUAAUUACCUUUUAAGUAGACGAUUAAGUAAUCUAGUAGUGAGGAGGAGGCGGAGAUUUGUAAAGGUAUGGGUGGUGUGGAGGUGAGUAAACUGGAGGGGGAGAGUAAUGGACCGGAGGGGGAGAGUAGUGCACCGGUGGUGGUGGGGAGUGAUAUACGACUGGAGGGGGAGAGUAAUGGACAGGAGGAGGAGAAUAGUGCACAGGUGGUGGUGGAGAGUGAUAUACAACGGGAGGAGGAGAGUAGUGAACCGGUGGGGGUGGGGAGUGGUAUACUACUGGAGGAGGAGAGUAAUGAACUGGUGGGGGUGGAGAUUUGUAAACCGGAGGGGGAGAGUAAUACUUAACUGGGGN